rnacentral:lncRNA from 1 species
CUCAGUUAACCCCUGCAGGCCUCCUCUCCCAGCAGAGCCGAGCAGAGCCCGCAGCACGCCUGCCCCAGGCUGCCGGUGGCCCCCGGGGGGACAGGGCUGCCGCAGAGCCGGUGCUGGAAAGAAAGCUGCGGUCAGGACAGCCAUCCCAGGACAGUGGAGCGUGGUGUCAUCAUGCCUCACAGACUUCCUGGCCGGGGGGUCCAGCUCCACAGACAGCUGUCGAAUGGAGAUCUGGGAUCGGAACUAGACUCCAGCUUAUUUUUGAGGAAGAUUAGCCCUGAGCUAACAUCUGCUACCAAUCUUCCUCUUUUUGCUGAGGAAGGCUGGCCCUGAACUAACGUCUGUGCCCAUCUUCCUCUACUUUAUAUGUGGGACGCCUGCCACAGCAUGGCUUGCCAAGUGGUGCCAUGUCCACACCUGGAAUCCGAACUGGCGAACCCCGGGCCACCGAAGUGGAACGUGCAAACUUAACUGCUACGCCACCAGGCUGGCCCAGACUACAG